AGGAGAUCUAUCAAAUGAUAUGCAUAUUGUGUUGAUAUGUGAAACACCACGUGAUUACAGAGCCAUAAAACUCGUUAGCGCCAACUAGUGGCCGAUUUCUUUCAAAAUUCUUACAGACCUUAAGGUUCAUGAGUCGAACGUACCCAGCGAGUUUCGUUCUGAUCAACAUCCGUUAACCCUUUCAAAUAGGUGCUUAAAUUUGUUUGGCCAAUGGCGGCCAUGUUUUUUGAGAUAUGCAAAUGUCCUCAUAGGUACUUGUGCCCCUUCAGACCAAGACACUGCAUACCGAUUUUCAAGUCGAUCGAGCCAACGGUUGCCUAGUUAUAGCAAUUUAUGUGUUUUUUCUAUCUUAUAGCGCCCCCAAGUGGUAGAGAUGUGCAAUUUUUUUUAUUUGACCAAAGAUUGAGCUCAUACAUAUGUGUACCGAGUUUGGUGAAGAUAUCUCAUUCCGUUCAAGAGUUAUAGUCAAAAUAGCAUUUGGCUAACGUUAGCAUAGACGCUUUUUGGUGUACUGUUUCGCGUAAGAAUUGAAAUUUCAACUUUUUUUUGAUAAUUAUUGAUAUUGAGUGUCCAGGGAAUAUUUAUGAAUUGGUUUGGUUCUGAUUGGUUGAAAAUCCUAGGACUAGUUCGCAAAAGUAGGUUUCGGAUAUAGCUCGAUUUUGCGAGAAAACGGUGCGUCGUAGACCCCAAAAAGGCGCCGUGCACUUUUGUUCGGGCUAACCCAAGGAU